GAUGAACGCUGGCGGCGUGCUUAACACAUGCAAGUCGAACGGAGUUAAUUUGAGGAAGCAAGCUUGCUUGAAGAAUUGAAUUAACUUAGUGGCGGACGGGCGAGUAACACGUGAGCAACCUGCCUCUUACAGGGGAAUAACAACGGGAAACCGUUGCUAAUACCGCAUAAUAUGUUGAAAGGGCAUCCUUUUAACAUCAAAGGAGCAAUCCGGUAAGAGAUGGGCUCGCGUCCGAUUAGCUAGUUGGUAGGGUAACGGCCUACCAAGGCGACGAUCGGUAGCCGGACUGAGAGGUCGAACGGCCGCAUUGGGACUGAGACACGGCCCAGACUCCUACGGGAGGCAGCAGUGGGGAAUAUUGGGCAAUGGGCGAAAGCCUGACCCAGCAACGCCGCGUGAGUGAUGAAGGCCUUCGGGUUGUAAAACUCUUUGGACAGGGACGAAGAAAGUGAC
rnacentral:rRNA from 1 species